GCAGGCGGUUUUUUAAGUCUGAUGUGAAAGCCCUCGGCUUAACCGAGGAAGUGCAUCGGAAACUGGGAAACUUGAGUGCAGAAGAGGACAGUGGAACUCCAUGUGUAGCGGUGAAAUGCGUAGAUAUAUGGAAGAACACCAGUGGCGAAGGCGGCUGUCUGGUCUGUAACUGACGCUGAGGCUCGAAAGCAUGGGUAGCGAACAGGAUUAGAUACCCUGGUAGUCCAUGCCGUAAACGAUGAAUGCUAGGUGUUGGAGGGUUUCCGCCCUUCAGUGCCGCAGCUAACGCAUUAAGCAUUCCGCCUGGGGAGUACGACCGCAAGGUUGAAACUCAAAGGAAUUGACGGGGGCCCGCACAAGCGGUGGAGCAUGUGGUUUAAUUCGAAGCAACGCGAAGAACCUUACCAGGUCUUGACAUCUUUUGAUCACCUGAGAGAUCAGGUUUCCCCUUCGGGGGCAAAAUGACAGGUGGUGCAUGGUUGUCGUCAGCUCGUGUCGUGAGAUGUUGGGUUAAGUCCCGCAACGAGCGCAACCCUUAUGACUAGUUGCCAGCAUUUAGUUGGGCACUCUAGUAAGACUGCCGGUGACAAACCGGAGGAAGGUGGGGAUGACGUCAAAUCAUCAUGCCCCUUAUGACCUGGGCUACACACGUGCUACAAUGGAUGGUACAACGAGUUGCGAGACCGCGAGGUCAAGCUAAUCUCUUAAAGCCAUUCUCAGUUCGGACUGUAGGCUGCAACUCGCCUACACGAAGUCGGAAUCGCUAGUAAUCGCGGAUCAGCACGCCGCGGUGAAUACGUUCCCGGGCCUUGUACACACCGCCCGUCACACCAUGAGAGUUUGUAACACCCGAAGCCGGUG
rnacentral:rRNA from 2 species